UACGAAUCGUCCAAACGUUGUUCGGAUUUACUGGGUUUAAAGGGUGCGUAGGUGGGCAAGUAAGUCAGUGGUGAAAUCUCCGGGCUUAACCCGGAAACUGCCAUUGAUACUAUUUGUCUUGAAUACUGUGGAGGUCAGCGGAAUAUGUCAUGUAGCGGUGAAAUGCUUAGAUAUGACAUAGAACACCAAUUGCGAAGGCAGCUGGCUACACAAAUAUUGACACUGAGGCACGAAAGCGUGGGGAUCAAACAGG
rnacentral:rRNA from 1 species